rnacentral:rRNA from 1 species
UACGUAGGGGGCAAGCGUUGUCCGGAUUUAUUGGGCGUAAAGAGCGUGUAGGCGGCCAGGUAGGUCCGUUGUGAAAACUCGAGGCUCAACCUCGAGACGCCGAUGGAAACCAUCUGGCUAGAGUCCGGAAGAGGAGACUGGAAUUUACGGUGUAGCGGUGAAAUGCGUAGAUAUCGAUAAGGAAGACCAGUGGCGAAGGCGGGUCUCCUGGACAGUUCCGUGACGCUGAGGCACGAAGGUCAGGGGAGCAAACGGG